UAAUACGUAGGGCGCAAGCGUUAUCCGGAAUUAUUGGGCGUAAAGAGCUCGUAGGCGGUUUGUCGCGUCUGCUGUGAAAUCUGGGGGCUCAACCCCCAGCCUGCAGUGGGUACGGGCAGACUAGAGUGCGGUAGGGGAGAUUGGAAUUCCUGGUGUAGCGGUGGAAUGCGCAGAUAUCAGGAGGAACACCGAUGGCGAAGGCAGAUCUCUGGGCCGUAACUGACGCUGAGGAGCGAAAGGGUGGGGAGCAAACAGGCUUAGAUACCCUGGUAGUCCACCCCGUAAACGUUGGGAACUAGUUGUGGGGUCCAUUCCACGGAUUCCGUGACGCAGCUAACGCAUUAAGUUCCCCGCCUGGGGAGUACGGCCGCAAGGCUAAAACUUAAAUGAAUUGACGG
rnacentral:rRNA from 1 species